rnacentral:rRNA from 1 species
UACGUAGGGGGCAAGCGUUGUCCGGAUUUAUUGGGCGUAAAGAGCGUGUAGGCGGCCAAGCAGGUCCGCUGUGAAAACUGGAGGCUCAACCUUCAGACGUCGACGGAAACCGUUUGGCUAGAGUCCGGAAGAGGAGAGUGGAAUUCCUGGUGUAGCGGUGAAAUGCGCAGAUAUCAGGAAGAACACCGAUGGCGAAGGCAGCUCUCUGGGACGGUACUGACGCUGAGACGCGAAAGCGUGGGGAGCGAACAGG